UACGUAGGUGGCGAGCGUUGUCCGGAUUUACUGGGCGUAAAGGGCUUGUAGGCGGUCCGUUAAGUCCGAUGUGAAAUCUCCCGGCUCAACUGGGAGAGGUCAUUGGAUACUGGCGGACUAGAGGGGGGUAGAGGAAAGCAGAAUUCCUGGUGUAGCGGUGAAAUGCGCAGAUAUCAGGAAGAACACCCGUGGCUAAGGCGGUUCUCUAGUACGGUACUGACGCUGAGACGCGAAAGCGUGGGGAGCGAACAGG
rnacentral:rRNA from 1 species